UGGGGAAUCUUGGACAAUGGGGGCAACCCUGAUCCAGCCAUGCCGCGUGAGUGAUGAAGGCCUUAGGGUCGUAAAGCUCUUUCGCCUGUGAAGAUAAUGACGGUAGCAGGUAAAGAAACCCCGGCUAACUCCGUGCCAGCAGCCGCGGUAAUACGGAGGGGGUUAGCGUUGUUCGGAAUUACUGGGCGUAAAGCGCACGUAGGCGGACCAGAAAGUUGGGGGUGAAAUCCCGGGGGCUCAACCCCGGAACUGCCUCCAAAACUAUUGGUCUAGAGUUCGAGAGAGGUGAGUGGAAUUCCAAGUGUAGAGGUGAAAUUCGUAGAUAUUUGGAGGAACACCAGUGGCGAAGGCGGCUCACUGGCUCGAUACUGACGCUGAGGCGCGAAAGCGUGGGGAGCAAACAGGAUUAGAUAGCCCUGGUAGUCCACGCCGUAAAACGAUGUCUGCUAGUCGUUGGGGGCGUAGCCCUUCAGU
rnacentral:rRNA from 1 species